GUCCAAUACUGCAACUAUGGCCCAGGAGUUCAAUAGUACAUUAUUUAUCAAUACCAAUGUUCCUUUUGGUUUACUCCGAGUUUUUUCUUCCAUUUAUAAACAUACUUUGUCUUAGAAUUACAAAAAAUACAGUAAAAGACACACCUGAACGAAAA